GAAUGGAGCCACCGCAAAGGCAGGAGGGA
rnacentral:piRNA from 1 species